UACGUAGGUGGCAAGCGUUGUUCGGAAUUAUUGGGCGUAAAGGGCGCGUAGGCGGUCUUGUAAGUCAGCUGUGAAAGCCCGGGGCUCAACCCCGGAGGGUCGGCUGAUACUGCAGGACUGGAGUACAGAAGGGGCAACUGGAAUUCUCGGUGUAGCGGUGAAAUGCGUAGAUAUCGAGAGGAACACCUGCGGCGAAGGCGGGUUGCUGGGCUGAUACUGACGCUGAGGCGCGAAAGCCAGGGGAGCGAACGGG
rnacentral:rRNA from 1 species